rnacentral:lncRNA from 1 species
UAACCGCAAGGCUUAAGAGGAGGGGUGAGAAAAAGUCGUAUAAAAGGAGAGAGAAAAAUCGACAGGUAUCAGUCGAGCGAGUACCUCCGACACGGUAACAGCUGCUCCAUUUGCCAUCAGCUGCAUUCUUAAUCGUGUAUCAGUUUUCAAACAUGGUCGUACAAAAGGGCAAGGAAAAGGCGAAAUAAUUCAGCAGCCGAGUGAGCAUCUCCGACACGGUAACAGCAACUGCAGUGCACCAUUUGUCACCAACUGCAUUCUUCGUCGAAUUGCUAGUUUGAUAUCAUGGUUAUGGUCAACUAUGGCGUCGUCCUGCUGUUGGGUGAUGCAUCGUUGAUGGCUGGUUCAGCCACUGCCCAUUGGUGUGCCGAUGACUCCUGGUAAGGCGGAUAACAAAUUGCAACCCCGCCACCUUACUACACAACAUACAACACGACCAGUUGCUACACCGUGGCCCCCCAGUACUGCACCAAGGCUCCAGAAUAUUACAUCACAACUUAUGCUGCCCUGAGCUACUACACCGAAUCCUUGCAGUAUUAUUCUUCCCCGAGCUACGCUGCUAAAGGGUCGAGUACUACACCGAUGCUCCGAAGUACUACACCACCAAGGCACCGUAGUACUACACCACUACAUAUCAUGGUCGUAUGAAAGGAGAGAAAAGGUGAAAGAAUUCAGCAGCCGAUUUAGGAUCUCCGUUACGUCAACAGGAACUGCCGUGCACCAUUUUCAUCAACUUCAUUCUUCGUCGUAUCACAAAUUUUAAAUAAAGUUAACUAUGUCGUCUUGCUGCUGUUGGGUGUAGUAACGUUGAUAGCCGGGUCGACCACUGGUGUACCGAUAUCUCCUGGGUAUGGUGGGUAUCAACAACAACAUACGCAAUAACCGCUUACUACACUGAAGAUUGUAAGUGCCACACCACCGAGGAUCAACUUUUUACCCCAUCGAAGCGCCCAAGUACUGCACUACAACCUACGUCGCCCCAGCUUACACCACGCAGGGAGCGGAGUACUACACCACGCAGGGAGCGGAGUACUACACCACGCAGGGAGCGGAGUACUACACCACGCAGGGAGCGGAGUACUACACCACGCAGGGAGCGGAGUACUACACCACGCAGGGAGCGGAGUACUACACCACGCAGGGAGCGGAGUACUACACCACGCAGGGAGCGGAGUACUACACCACGCAGGGAGCGGAGUACUACACCACGCAGGGAGCGGAGUACUACACCACGCAGGGAGCGGAGUACUACACCACGCAGGGAGCGGAGUACUACACCACGCAGGGAGCGGAGUACUACACCACGCAGGGAGCGGAGUACUACACCACGCAGGGAGCGGAGUACUACACCACGCAGGGAGCGGAGUACUACACCACGCAGGGAGCGGAGUACUACACCACGCAGGGAGCGGAGUACUACACCAAGGCUCCAGUUUACUUCACUACAACCUACUUUUAAAGUACUACACCACCAAAGGCAUUCGAGUAGAAGCUCCGAAAGCACAUCUCUGCCCCGAGUUACUACACCAUUAACGCAGCCGAAUUAUACCCCAAACUACGAUUCCGCAAUAUUCUACAAGGAAAUUCCUUAUUACUAGAGCCGAAAUUUCUACUUGAGGUUAUUUAUAUUUAUCGGUUAUUUCAUGGUAAUUGGUCGUUGGGAAUUAAUUAUUGAUCUUAAAUGAGAAAAUAAAAGUUUUAAUACGGGUAA